rnacentral:rRNA from 1 species
UGGGGAAUCUUGCACAAUGGGGGCAACCCUGAUGCAGCGACGCCGCGUGAGCGAUGAAGCCCUUCGGGGUGUAAAGCUCUUUCGGCAGGGAAGAUCAUGACGGUACCUGCAGAAUCAGCUGCGGCUAACUACGUGCCAGCAGCCGCGGUAAUACGUAGGCAGCGAGCGUUGUUCGGAGUUACUGGGCGUAAAGGGUGUGUAGGCGGUGCUCUAAGUGUGGUGUGAAAUCUCCCGGCUCAACUGGGAGGGUGCGCUACGAACUGGAAUGCUCGAGUGCGGGAUGGGAGAGUGGAAUUCCUGGUGUAGCGGUGAAAUGCGUAGAUAUCAGGAGGAACACCGGUGGUGUAGACGGCUCUCUGGACCGCAACUGACGCUGAGACACGAAAGCGUGGGUAGCAAACAGGAUUAGAUACCCAGGUAGUCCCUGAGCGGGCUGGCAAGGCGCAU